rnacentral:rRNA from 1 species
AUACAGAGGGUGCAAGCGUUAAUCGGAAUUACUGGGCGUAAAGCGCGCGUAGGCGGUUUGGUAAGUCAGAUGUGAAAGCCCUGGGCUCAACCUGGGAACUGCAUUUGAUACUGCCAGGCUAGAGUAUGGUAGAGGGUAGUGGAAUUCCAGGUGUAGCGGUGAAAUGCGUAGAUAUCUGGAGGAACAUCAGUGGCGAAGGCGGCUACCUGGACCAAUACUGACGCUAAGGUGCGAAAGCGUGGGGAGCAAACAGGAUUAGAAACCCCGGUAGUCC